rnacentral:rRNA from 1 species
UGGAGGCACUCUGAACCAGCCAUGCCGCGUGCAGGAUGACGGUCCUAUGGAUUGUAAACUGCUUUUAUACAGGAAGAAACCCUACCACGUGUGGUAGAUUGACGGUACUGUAAGAAUAAGGAUCGGCUAACUCCGUGCCAGCAGCCGCGGUAAUACGGAGGAUCCAAGCGUUAUCCGGAAUCAUUGGGUUUAAAGGGUCCGUAGGCGGUUUAAUAAGUCAGUGGUGAAAUCCGGCAGCUCAACUGUCGCACUGCCAUUGAUACUGUUAAACUUGAAUUAUUGUGAAGUAACUAGAAUAUGUAGUGUAGCGGUGAAAUGCUUAGAGAUUACAUGGAAUACCAAUUGCGAAGGCAGGUUACUAACAAUCAAUUGACGCUGAUGGACGAAAGCGUGGGGAGCGAACAGGAUUAGAUACCCUGGUAGUCCACGCCGUAAACGAUGGAUACUAGCUGUUCGACCGCAAGGUUGAGUGGCUAAGCGAAAGUGAUAAGUAUCCCACCUGGGGAGUACGAACGCAAGUUUGAAACUCAAAGGAAUUGACGGGGGCCCGCACAAGCGGUGGAGCAUGUGGUUUAAUUCGAUGAUACGCGAGGAACCUUACCAGGGCUUAAAUGCAGUAUGACAGGUUUGGAAACAGACCCUUCUUCGGACAUAUUGCAAGGUGCUGCAUGGUUGUCGUCAGCUCGUGCCGUGAGGUGUCAGGUUAAGUCCUAUAACGAGCGCAACCCCUGUUGUUAGUUACCAGCGAGUCAAGUCGGGCACUCUAACAAGACUGCCGGUGCAAACCGAGAGGAAGGUGGGGAUGACGUCAAAUCAUCACGGCCCUUACGUCCUGGGCUACACACGUGCUACAAUGGCCGGUACAGCGAGCAGCCACUGCGCGAGCAGGAGCGAAUCUACAAAGCCGGUCACAGUUCGGAUUGGAGUCUGCAACUCGACUCCAUGAAGCUGGAAUCGCUAGUAAUCGGAUAUCAGCCAUGAUCCGGUGAAUACGUUCCCGGGCCUUGUACACACCGCCCGUCAAGCCAUGGAAGCUGGGGGUACCUGAAGUCGGUGACCGCAAGGAGCUGCCUAGGGUAAAACCGGUAACUGGGGCUAAGUCGUAACAAGGUAGCCGUACCGGAAGGUGCGGCUGGAACACCUCCUUUCU